rnacentral:rRNA from 1 species
CCCUACGGGGGGCAGCAGUGGGGAAUAUUGCACAAUGGGGGAAACCCUGAUGCAGCAACGCCGCGUGAGUGAAGAAGUAUUUCGGUAUGUAAAGCUCUGUUAGCAGGGAAGAGGAAGGACGGUACCUGCAGAGGAAGCCACGGCUAACUACGUGCCAGCAGCCGCGGUAAUACGUAGGUGGCAAGCGUUGUUCGGAAUAACUGGUCGUAAAGGAUGCGUAGGCGGUUAAACAAGUUAUAUGUUAAAUAUUUAGGCUUAACCUGUAGAAAGAAUAUAAAACUGUUUAACUAGAGUGCC